GAUGAACGCUAGCUACAGGCCUAACACAUGCAAGUCGAGGGGCAGCAGAUCGAAAGCUUGCUUUUGAUGCUGGCGACCGGCGAAUGGGUGAGUCACGCGUGUCCAACCUGCCCUGUGCCCGGGGAUAGCCCUUGGAAAUGAGGAUUAACACCCGAUAGGUGGCGCUUCCGCAUGGCGGCGCCAUGAAACCGACACAGGAUGGGGACGCGUCGGAUUAGCUUGACGGCGGGGCGACGGCCCACCGUGGCGACGAUCCGCAGGGGUUCUGAGAGGAAGGUCCCCCACACUGGCACUGAGACACGGGCCAGACUCCUACGGGAGGCAGCAGUGAGGAAUAUUGGUCAAUGGCCGAGAGGCUGAACCAGCCAAGUAGCGUGCAGGACGACGGCCCUACGGGUUGUAAACUGCUUUUGCGGGAGGAUAAAGGACGCCACGUGUGGCGUUUUGCAGGUAUCCCGUGAAUAAGGACCGGCUAAUUCCGUGCCAGCAGCCGCGGUAAUACGGAAGGUCCGGGCGUUAUCCGGAUUUAUUGGGUUUAAAGGGUGCGCAGGCGGACCGGUAAGUCGUCGGUGAAAUCCACACGCCUAACGUGUGAAGAGCCGAUGAUACUGCCGGACUGGUAUGCAAGGGGCGCGGCCGGAAUGUGUCGUGUAGCGGUGAAAUGCAUAGAUAUGACACAGAACGCCGAUCGUGAAGACAGGUCGCGAACUUGUGAUAGACGCUCAAGCACGAAAGCGUGGGGAUCAAACA
rnacentral:rRNA from 1 species